CAAGGAGGAGGGAGAAAAAUUAUUCUUGUUAACCUCUGAGGAUAGGGUAAGAAUCAAUGGACUUAAAUUGCAGCAAGGGUGUUUUAGGUUGGACAUUAGGAAAAACUUCCUGACUGUCAGGGUGGUUAUGUACUGGAAUAAAGUGCCUAGGGAGUGUGAUGGCGUGGCUGCCUGCCACUGGCAGAAAUGGGGUUAAAAGCAGCCCUACGGAGAGUGAGCUGCAGGCAGCCAAUUAGAAAGGGGCUGAGAGAAGCAGGCAAUCAUGACCUGGCAGGCGCAUAUAAGAAGGGCUGCACGGCACAGCAGAGUUCAGUAGCUGAAUGGAGUUUGUGGGGAGAAGACCAGGCUCUGAGCAGGAAGAAGGAGUGCCAGCACCUGGGAUAGAGCAGUGCUGCAAGCAGAGGCUGGGGGAGCUAGAGAGAGCUCUGGGCUGGUUGCUACAACCUGCAGGCUGAGGACCUGAGGUAUGGGCAGAAAAGGGUGCUGCAGCUGCAUGGGAAGUGGCCCUGGGACAAUGGACUGAAGUUGCCACUGGAGGAGUGGCUGAACAGAGACCGUGGGUCCCCUGGAAGGGGGAGAACACAGAGGGUGGCACAGCCAGGGAGCAGUGUCACUGAAGAGGACUCUACAGUUCUGGGAGUGGCGUGGGUCCUGGAACAAAAGCGAUGGCAACAAGGCACCACGAGAGGAGGGGGCCCUGAUCCCCUUUCUGAAAUUAAAUGCUCCUGUGUGGGACUUCUUUGGUGGUCCCCUCCCUCCAGGUAUGUUCAGUUUAAUUAUUUUAUGGAUGCUAUUACAAAGCGGUUCAGCUACAGUCACCUCUUGGGCUGGAUCCUGUGCUCCCGUUUAGAACUAAAUCAAGCAUGUAGAAGCACUCGUCCAGACUCUAGGGAGAUGGGGAUAAAAAUCUCGGAGCAGAAGGAAUUAUGGUCCUUUUAUCCUGUUUAGAUUCUCAGGGGCAAAGAUUCCUGAACACAAGCAAGAGAUCCGGAGGACUAACCUGGGUUAGCCCUAAUGGACACAUCGAGCUGGCAUAUUUCAUCAGCUCUGGCACCAUGUGAAUCCUAAGACUGCAACAUGUUUUUGUGUGUAUGGUUACUUGUUUUAACUUUGUAAAUAAUGCUCUUAUUUCUUUUUCCUGGUUAAUAAAUCCUAGUUUACUAGAGAAA